rnacentral:rRNA from 1 species
UACAGAGGUCUCAAGCGUUGUUCGGAUUCAUUGGGCGUAAAGGGUGCGUAGGCGGCGCGGUAAGUCCGCUGUGAAAGUCGGGGGCUCAACCCUCGAAUGCCGGUGGAUACUGUCGGGCUAGAGUGCGGAAGAGGCGAGUGGAAUUCCUGGUGUAGCGGUGAAAUGCGCAGAUAUCAGGAGGAACACCGAUUGCGAAGGCAGCUCGCUGGGACGUUACUGACGCUGAGACGCGAAAGCGUGGGGAGCAAACAGG